CGGGGGAGCGUCUCCUCCAGGUGAGCCUUCGGAACCCAAAAUGCCGGGGGGGCUCAGGUCGGGGCCGCUUUUCGGGCCCGGAGUUGGACGGAGCCCUCGGCGGCUCCCGCUUCCCGCCAGGAACGUUCUCGGGGCUCCCUGGGCAGUCCCAGCUGGGCAGGGAACGCGGGCCGGGAGGAGGUCGGAGCGACAGACAGCGACCCAGCCCUGCUUGGGCUUCCUAUUGCCAGGGGAUGGAGGAGCUGUGCCCUGGAGCUGUGCCCUACAGCCCCCGUGGGGUGGGCACGGGGAAAGGGCUGCCCGCGGCUCCUCAGCCGGGCGCUGCUCUGAACGGGCCCCCUGAGAUGCCUCACCCUGGACACGCCCCAGCGCCAGCCCCAAAGGACCCAAAGAAUCCAGCUGGCACUCGGCAGUGUCGGCACGGCGGGGCUGCAGAGCAGCGCGGGCAGCCAUUCCCAGGGCCCACCUCCCAGAGCUCCCCCGCGCCCCCCACGGGUGUCCCGCCCGCCCCAAAUCCCUGCCCUUCCAGCCGGAGGCCAGCAGCCAGCAGCAGCCUUAAAGCCAGGGCCAUGUGCCCUCAGCGGCACUAAAUCCCGAGCAAGAGCCCUCGGAGAUGCCUGAAAAGAAAAGAGGGUGCUUGGAGAAAGUUGGGCUUGGAUGCAAUUCGCAGUUUUUCGGGGACCCAACCGCACCUGCAGAACCCGUGGACAGCUGGAACAGGUGGGUCAGAGCCGAGGUGCCCUGAAGGCAGGGCUGUGCAUCCCUUUCCUCGGGGAAAAGAACUCCCCGGGGCCGCUCCCGAGGCUCGGAAGGGACAGCGGCUUCCCGCCCGGACAGACGUCCUCGCCCGUGCUCAGGGGCUGCCUCGCCCCGGGCCGGGAGCGCGUCCGGCCCCCGCCUUCUCCUGGGCCAACACAUCCCCUGGAGCCCGGCCCGGGGCGGAAAACCGGCCCAAUUCCAGGGAACUCGCUCAAGUCCCCCCAGGGACACCAGCGGGGCUGGGGGAGGAGGGUUAUAAACAGCAAAGUCUGUGGAAUAUCAACCUGUCCUUGUCCCGAUCCCGCUGAGCAAACCUGGAACCGUGGCUGCUUCCUGGCAAACCUGGCGUUAGAGCGGCAGCUCUGCGGGGGAACAGCCGGGCUCCAGGAGGCACUGGGAGGCUGUUCCAGCAGGAAUUCGGCAAGGAAUUGCGGGCUGUGAAUUGUGCACAAGCCAGUCCCCCAUUCCCUAUCCAGGCUGGGAGUGCUCGUGCCCUUGGCACAGAUGGCUCUGGCUGGGCAGGAACUGAGAGCAGGACGUGGGGCAGAGUGGAUCAGCUGCCCAGGGAACAUCCAGGAGAUGAAGCUACGGGAUCCUCAUUCCAAUCAAGGGAACACAUUCUGUCUCUGGCAGAAGCCGGGAGCCAAAGCAGAUCCCGCCUGGCCAGGCUGGGGGGCAGCAGUUGGAUCCACUCUGGGGGAAAGCCCCUGUGCCUGCCAGGAGCUCUGACUCUGUUUGUCCUGCCAGCUCUGACCAGUGUCAGGGCCACUGGGAGGGAUUCAGAAUCCACAGAAAUCCCAAAUCCUACUGAGGGACUCAAUCAAAGGAAGAAAGUAAUUUUUGUCAUAAAAAGCUUAAAAAAACUGUUAAAAAUUCUAGGACAGCAA